CCUACGGGAGGCAGCAGUAGGGAAUCUUCGGCAAUGGACGGAAGUCUGACCGAGCAACGCCGCGUGAGUGAAGAAGGUUUUCGGAUCGUAAAGUUCUGUUGUAAGAGAAGAACGAGUGUGAGAGUGGAAAGUUCACACUGUGACGGUAUCUUACCAGAAAGGGACGGCUAACUACGUGCCAGCAGCCGCGGUAAUACGUAGGUCCCGAGCGUUGUCCGGAUUUAUUGGGCGUAAAGCGAGCGCAGGCGGUUAGAUAAGUCUGAAGUUAAAGGCUGUGGCUUAACCAUAGUACGCUUUGGAAACUGUUUAACUUGAGUGCAAGAGGGGAGAGUGGAAUUCCAUGUGUAGCGGUGAAAUGCGUAGAUGUAUGGAGGAACACCGGUGGCGAAAGCGGCUCUCCGGCUUGUAACUGACGCUGAGGCUCGAAAGCGUGGGGAGCAAACAGGAUUAGAUACCCUGGUAGUCCACGCCGUAAACGAUGAGUGCUAGGUGUUAGACCCUUUCCGGGGUUUAGUGCCGUAGCUAACGCAUUAAGCACUCCGCCUGGGGAGUACGACCGCAAGGUUGAAACUCAAAGGAAUUGACGGAGCCCCUUCCUGAUACUGGGGUUCGAACUCCUAAACUCAAAGGAAUUGACGG
rnacentral:rRNA from 1 species